AGCGAACGCUGGCGGCAGGCUUAACACAUGCAAGUCGAACGCCAUCUUCGGAUGGAGUGGCAGACGGGUGAGUAACGCGUGGGAACGUACCCUUUGGUUCGGAAUAUUCUCGGGAAACUGACGCUAAUACCGCAUAUCCCCUGAGGGGGAAAGCAGAGAUGCGCCCACGGAGCAGCCUGCGUCCGAUUAGCUAGUUGGUUAGGUAAAGGCUGACCAAGGCGACGAUCGGUAGCUGGUCUGAGAGGAUGAUCAGCCACACUGGAACUGAGACACGGUCCAGACUCCUACGGGAGGCAGCAGUGGGGAAUAUUGGACAAUGGGCGCAAGCCUGAUCCAGCAAUGCCGCGUGCAGGAAGAAGGCCUUCGGGUUGUAAACUGCUUUUGUACGGAACGAAAAGGUCUGGGUUAAUACCCUGGGCUCAUGACGGUACCGUAAGAAUAAGCACCGGCUAACUACGUG
rnacentral:rRNA from 1 species